rnacentral:rRNA from 1 species
UGGGGAAUAUUGGACAAUGGGCGAAAGCCUGAUCCAGCCAUGCCGCGUGUGUGAAGAAGGUCUUCGGAUUGUAAAGCACUUUAAGUUGGGAGGAAGGGCAUUAACCUAAUACGUUAGUGUUUUGACGUUACCGACAGAAUAAGCACCGGCUAACUCUGUGCCAGCAGCCGCGGUAAUACAGAGGGUGCAAGCGUUAAUCGGAAUUACUGGGCGUAAAGCGCGCGUAGGUGGUGUGUUAAGUUGGAUGUGAAAUCCCCGGGCUCAACCUGGGAACUGCAUUCAAAACUGACUGACUAGAGUAUGGUAGAGGGUGGUGGAAUUUCCUGUGUAGCGGUGAAAUGUGUAGAUAUAGGAAGGAACACCAGUGGCGAAGGCGACCACCUGGACUAAUACUGACACUGAGGUGCGAAAGCGUGGGGAGCAAACA